rnacentral:rRNA from 1 species
CCCUGCCAUUUGUACACACCGCCCGUCGCUACUACCGAUUGAAUGGUUUAGUGAGAUCUUCGGAUUGGUCCGGAGGUGUCCGCAAGGUCGCCUCUAGGUGCCGAGAAGAUGAUCAAACUUGAUCAUUU